rnacentral:lncRNA from 1 species
GGAGCCGAGUAUAACAUAGUAGAUAUCAUCAUCACACAAGUCACAACUGAUGCUUAUAUUUAAGCAAUACAUUUAGAGAUCUUCUUGAACCAGUCUUGUCUAUAUGAAAUCAGAAUGUGGCUGAUGACCAAUCCACAGAAUACACCAGGUACAUAAGCUAUUGCAGCCACAAUCCCGCUCAAUACUUGAUAAUUUUCUUCAUCCUCUUGAUCCUCCUUUCUUGUUUUUUCUUCCUCUUCUCCACUGCAGGUCUUUUGGAGAGGAGCACCGCAUAGCCCGAGAUUAUGUACGAAUGAAGAGCUAUUCUGGCUUUGAAUCUGAGUGCCUUGUGGUAUUGGACCUUCGAGCAUGUUGUAAGAGAAGUUCAUCCAUGCCAGAAACGCGAGUUUCUCGAGUU